UCCUAAGUUUCUGGGUUCUAAAUCAGAAGCUCUGAAGGGAGACUGGCAAAUAACCAAAAUGACUGACAGAUUCCGCACACCAUGGUAAUGUUCAUUGUUGAAAACACUGACACACAUGGAAAACACUGGAGUUUUCUCUGAAUACUACUAACAGGUGUUGCACCCCUUUCUCAAGGUGAAUUUUGCAGCAGACUACGACUGUUAUGCCAGAAUGUUUCAACCAUUUGCCACUGAAGAUCAAAUUUCAAGUCUGAAAGGGGAAUUUACUACCUACCUGAACAUGCCCAACUCUGACCAUGUGAAACCGGAUGUGUUGGCUUUUCGGAACAGGCAUCAACACACACUUCUCAACUUCAGCAAAGUAGCACGGCGAGCUUUGAGUGUGCCCCCGAAUCUACUGAUGCAGAGCACUUAUUUUCAAAGUUUUCCACAACAGCAAGAGGCUCAACAUGAGGGAAGACACUUUGAAGAAAAUUACAUCUGCUGGAGUCUUGAGGCAGCUACAAAAUAGUGCCAAUAAGCAAAAUCACAACCAAUUAAUAUAAUGGUUUUGAAACUGAAGAAAAUAAAAUCCAGGCUGGCAAAAAAGAAUUGUUUUUUUACAUUAUGCAUUACGUAAUCUUUUGGCAGUUUCAUACCAGAUCUGUUUUCUGACAUCUUCUGUGCCUGCUACAGCAUCAAGCAUUUAGUGCUUCUCAGCUUCAGAAACUGAAGACACUAACAUGCUGAAAAGGAAC